rnacentral:lncRNA from 1 species
AUGGUUGGGUGGAACAAAGACACGUCCAUUUUUAAUCAAUAAGAGAGCCCACCAAACUUUUGGAACCUCAAAGAAUCAUCCAAAAGCUGCCCACUCCUGAUUUGCCCAGAUGAUCUGGGGCAGAGGAUAUUAACAAAUGAAUAUUUAGUGAGCCGAAAACAAACUCACAUGAAAAAUUAAGGAUGAAAUUAGUGAAAAGCGCAGAGAUAGAAACUAUUUGAUUGGGCUUCAGAAAACUUCCAGGAACAGAGGUGUUUCAUCUGUAAAGGUGCUGCCCAAGACUUGUGCCGAGAUCUGGCCGGAUCAUUUGUAAGUCUCAUGAAAGCUAUGGGAGGGCACCGACAGAGAGGAGCAGAGGAGACAAGAAGAGGAAGAGAGGGAGAGGGAAUGAAUAUUUGAUGGAACAUCCUGGGAUAGAUGAAAAAGAGCUGAACAACUAGAUAAGGUCUUAAAUUUAUGUCUUCUUUUGGCUUAAGAAAUGUCAAAAUCGAAAUGUUUUAUUUUGUGACCACUGUUUUCAAAAUGUAAUUCCAAAAUAAACUCUUAAGAAGCCUAAAUAUUUUGAAUAAAAUGAAGUUCAUGUACCUCUAAUUUAAAUGCAAAACAAUAUAAUAUUACUUGAAGGAGAAAAAUGACAUACUGGAUGAUAUUAA